GGCGGGGUCUUACACAUGCAGUCGAACGAUGGAUAGACGUUACGGGGUGGAUUAGUGGCGAACGGGUGAGUAACACGUGGGCAAUCUGCCCUUCACUCUGGGACAAGCCCUGGAAACGGGGUCUAAUACCGGAUAUCACUUCUGCCUGCAUGGGCGGGGGUCGAAAGCUCCGGCGGUGAAGGAUGAGCCCGCGGCCUAUCAGCUUGUUGGUGAGGUAAUGGCUCACCAAGGCGACGACGGGUAGCCGGCCUGAGAGGGCGACCGGCCACACUGGGACUGAGACACGGCCCAGACUCCUACGGGAGGCAGCAGUGGGGAAUAUUGCACAAUGGGCGGAAGCCUGAUGCAGCGACGCCGCGUGAGGGAUGACGGCCUUCGGGUUGUAAACCUCUUUCAGCAGGGAAGAAGCGAGAGUGACGGUACCUGCAGAAGAAGCGCCGGCUAACUACGUGCCAGCAGCCGCGGUAAUACGUAGGGCGCAAGCGUUGUCCGGAAUUAUUGGGCGUAAAGAGCUCGUAGGCGGCUUGUCGCGUCGGAUGUGAAAGCCCGGGGCUUAACCCCGGGUCUGCAUUCGAUACGGGCAGGCUAGAGUUCGGUAGGGGAGAUCGGAAUUCCUGGUGUAGCGGUGAAAUGCGCAGAUAUCAGGAGGAACACCGGUGGCGAAGGCGGAUCUCUGGGCCGAUACUGACGCUGAGGAGCGAAAGCGUGGGGAGCGAACAGGAUUAGAUACCCUGGUAGUCCACGCCGUAAACGGUGGGAACUAGGUGUUGGCGACAUUC
rnacentral:rRNA from 1 species